rnacentral:rRNA from 1 species
UACGAGGGGGGCAAGCGUUGUUCGGAAUUAUUGGGCGUAAAGGGCGCGUAGGCGGUGCGGUAAGUCACCUGUGAAAACUCUGGGCUCAACUCAGAGCCUGCAGGCGAAACUGCCGUGCUUGAGUGUGGGAGAGGUGCGUGGAAUUCCCGGUGUAGUGGUGAAAUGCGUAGAUAUCGGGAGGAACACCUGUGGCGAAAGCGGCGCACUGGACCACAACUGACGCUGAGGCGCGAAAGCUAGGGGAGCAAACAGG